rnacentral:rRNA from 1 species
GGCGGAAUGUGACAUGUAGCGGUGAAAUGCUUAGAUAUGACACAGAACACCGAUUGCGAAGGCAGCUCACUAAGUUAUUAUUGACGCUGAGGGACGAAAGCGUGGGUAGCGAACAGGAUUAGAUACCCUGGUAGUCCACGCCGUAAACGAUGUAUACUCGUUGCUAGCGAUACACAGUUAGUGACCAAGCGAAAGUAUUAAGUAUACCACCUGGGGAGUACGAUCGCAAGAUUGAAACUCAAAGGAAUUGACGGGGGCCCGCACAAGCGGUGGAGCAUGUGGUUUAAUUCGAUGAUACGCGAGGAACCUUACCUGGGCUUAAAUGCAGAACG